GGUUAAAUCCUGUAGAGGUACAGGUCGUGGUUUUUUAUACCUUUUUGAACCGAGUGUUUUCUACGUAAAAAUCAUUGUGUUCUUUACUUCCUAUUUUAUUGCUUUCUUGGAACACGUCAGGAAACCGAUUCCAUUCAUAGGCAACUCUUACGUUAAAGUCACUGAUCAGUAGGGCAGGUACUCUAAUAAGUGGUAGCAGAGCGAGGUUGUCUUAAAAAGGGUUAACACCUAAGACAAAGA
rnacentral:lncRNA from 1 species